rnacentral:rRNA from 1 species
UACAGAGGAUGCAAGCGUUAUCCGGAAUGAUUGGGCGUAAAGCGUCCGCAGGUGGCAGUUCAAGUCUGCUGUCAAAGACCGGGGCUUAACUUCGGAAAGGCAGUGGAAACUGAACAGCUAGAGUAUGGUAGGGGCAGAGGGAAUUCCUGGUGUAGCGGUGAAAUGCGUAGAGAUCAGGAAGAACAGCGGUGGCGAAGGCGCUCUGCUGGACCAUAACUGACACUCAGGGACGAAAGCUAGGGGAGCGAAUGGG